GAUGAACGCUGGCGGCGUGCCUAAUACAUGCAAGUCGAGCGAAUGGAUUAAGAGCUUGCUCUUAUGAAGUUAGCGGCGGACGGGUGAGUAACACGUGGGUAACCUGCCCAUAAGACUGGGAUAACUCCGGGAAACCGGGGCUAAUACCGGAUAACAUUUUGAACCGCAUGGUUCGAAAUUGAAAGGCGGCUUCGGCUGUCACUUAUGGAUGGACCCGCGUCGCAUUAGCUAGUUGGUGAGGUAACGGCUCACCAAGGCAACGAUGCGUAGCCGGCCUGAGAGGGUGAUCGGCCACACUGGGACUGAGACACGGCCCAGACUCCUACGGGAGGCAGCAGUGGGGAAUCUUCCGCAAUGGACGAAAGUCUGACGGAGCAACGCCGCGUGAGUGAUGAAGGCUUUCGGGUCGUAAAACUCUGUUGUUAGGGAAGAACAAGUGCUAGUUGAAUAAGCUGACACCUUGACGGUACCUAACCAGAAAGCCACGGCUAACUACGUGCCAGCAGCCGCAGUAA
rnacentral:rRNA from 1 species